UCCUGAGGUAUGCCUGAUUUUAGAAGCUAAGCAAGUUUGGGGCUCGUUAGUUCUUGGAUAGGAGACCGCUUGUGAGUACUGGGUCCUGCAGGCU
rnacentral:rRNA from 1 species